rnacentral:rRNA from 1 species
AGGAACUAAACAGAUCCCUUAGUAAUGGCGAACGAACAGGGAUCAGCUUGGUUGGAAACCGGGGCUUCUGCCUUGGAUUGUGGCCUUUAGACAUACUACCAACGGCGGCGCGAGCGUAAGCCUCUUGGAACAGAGCGUCUACCUAGGUGAGAAUCCUGUGUUUCGCUUGAUGCCCGCCGUGCACGGUACUUGCUCUCAGAGUCACGCUCCUCGGAAUUGGAGCGUAAAUUGGGUGGUAAAUUUCAUCUAAAGCUAAAUACAGGCUCGAGACCGAUAGCAAACAAGUACCAUGAGGGAAAGAUGAAAAGGACUUUGAAAAGAGAGUUAAAAGUGCUUGAAAUCGCUGAACUGGAAGCGAAUGGAACUAGUGCUCUGGUUGAGAUUGCUGCAGGUGGCUGCAAAAUCUGGGCUCUGGAAUGCAAAUCCUUGGUCUAGUUUGGAGUAGUUGCUUGCAAUGUGUCUCAGCUUGAACAUCAACUUUCAUGCAUGCGUGAGGAUGGCCCUUGGCUCAUGCUGUCUUACUGCGGUGAAAUUCUUGUGCCUUUUGGGAUUCAGGCGUGUGUGGACUGUUGAUCAAUUAGUUCCAUUCGACCCGUCUUGAAACACGGACCAAGGAGUCUAGCACUUGUGCAAGUCCUCAGGUGUCAAACCUCUGUGCGCAAUGAAGGUGACUGCUGGGAUUUUUGCACCAGCAACCGACCAAUCAAUUGGGAGAAGUUUGAGUAAGAGCAUGUGUGUUAGGACCCGAAAGAUGGUGA